rnacentral:tRNA from 1 species
GGGAUAUAGCUCAGUUGGUAGAGCGCCGCGUUCGCAAUGCGGAGGUCAGGGGUUCGACCCCCCUUAUCUCC